rnacentral:rRNA from 1 species
UUGAAAGGGAAACGAUUGAAGUCAGUCAUGCUUGCAGGGAAUCAGCAUGGUGGUUUUCUUCCUUGUGCACUUCCUUGCUUGGCAGGUUAGCAUCAAUUUUGAUUGUCAUUAAAGAACCGGGGUAAUGUGGCUUCUUCGGGAGUGUUAUAGACCUUGGUAGAUGUGACGAUCGGGAUUGAGGAUUGCAGCGAAUGCUUCUUGGCUAGUCACCUGGCUUCUGACGGUUACCUUGCUUUCGAUAGCUUGCUAACGUUGGUGAGAUUUGAUUGUCUAGAUGUUAGUGUGAUCAUAAAUUCGCUAAGGAUGCUGACGUAAUGGCUUUAAACGACCCGUCUUGAAACACGGACCA